CCCAAAAAAAGGCCCGGGCAAGMCCGUKCCCACCGGCCGCGGUAAUCCCGCGGCUUGGAGUGGUGCCCACUUUAAUUGGGCUAAAAGCUUUCGUASYGGGGUUUUUAAGUCUCUGGGGAAAUYGGGCAGCUUAACUGUCAGGCGUCUAAGAGAUACUGGCAAUCUAGGAACCGGGAGAGGUGAGGGGUACUUCGGGGGUAGGAGUGAAAUCCUGUAAUCCUYKWGGGAGAGARCCUGUGGCGAAGGCGCCUCACCAGAACGGCUUCGACAGUGAGGGACGAAAGCUGGGGGAGCAAWCCGGCUUUUUCCCGGGUAGUCCCAKCCGUAAACGAAGCGRGAGGCCAYCUGACCACGAGUCAUCGAGGUG
rnacentral:rRNA from 1 species